AGAGUUUGAUCCUGGCUCAGGACGAACNCUGGCGGCGCGCUUAACACAUGCAAGUCGUGCGGUACCGAUGGCAAGUCUUCUUGACGAGCCUUCGGUAUAGCGGCGGACGGGUGAGUAACACGUGAGUAGCUGUCCUAGGGAGGGGGAUAACGCCUGGAAACGGGUGCUAAAACCCCAUAAGCCUCGAAAGAGGUAAAAGUGCAUCACUGCAGUCCUAGGGUGUGCUCGCGGCCUAUCAGCUAGUUGGUGAGGUAAGGGCUCACCAAGGCCAAGACGGGUAGCCGGCCUGAGAGGGUGUACGGCCACACUGGAAUUGAGAUACGGUCCAGACUCCUACGGGAGGCAGCAGUGGGGAAUUUUGGGCAAUGGGCGAAAGCCUGACCCAGCGACGCCGCGUUGGGGAUGAAGUCCUUCGGGGCGUAAACCCAUGUUGUAGGGGAAGAAGAAAGUGACGGUACCCUACGAGAAAGCCCCGGCCAACUACGUGCCAGCAGCCGCGGUAAAACGUAGGGGGCGAGCGUUGUCCGGAAUUACUGGGCGUAAAGGGCAUGCAGGCGGUGCGCCAAGUCGGGGGUGUAAAGUUACGGCUCAACCGUGACCUUGCAAUCGAAACUGGCGCACUGGAGUGCGGGAGAGGGAAGUGGAAUUCCCGGUGUAGCGGUGAAAUGCGUAGAUAUCGGGAGGAACGCCAGUGGCGAAGGCGGCUUCCUGGCCCGCGACUGACGCUCAUGUGCGAAAGCCAGGGGAGCGAACCGGAUUAGAUACCCGGGUAGUCCUGGCCGUAAACGAUGGGUGCUAGGUGUAGGCGCGUCAAGCGUCUGUGCCGAAGUUAACGCGAUAAGCACCUCGCCUGGGGAGUACGGUCGCAAGGCUGAAACUCAAGGAAUUGACGGGGCCCGCACAAGCGGUGGAGCACGUGGUUUAAUUCGAUGCAACCGANACCUUACCUGGNUUGACAUGCNGUGNACGAACCUGAAGGCGAGGACCGCAUCUUCGGAUGCGGAGCCU
rnacentral:rRNA from 1 species